rnacentral:rRNA from 1 species
UACGUAGGGUCCGAGCGUUGUCCGGAAUUACUGGGCGUAGAGAGCUCGUAGGUGGUUUGUCGCGUUGUUCGUGAAAACUCACAGCUUAACUGUGGGCGUGCGGGCGAUACGGGCAGACUUGAGUACUGCAGGGGAGACUGGAAUUCCUGGUGUAGCGGUGGAAUGCGCAGAUAUCAGGAGGAACACCGGUGGCGAAGGCGGGUCUCUGGGCAGUAACUGACGCUGAGGAGCGAAAGCAUGGGGAGCGAACAGG